UCCGCGCGGGGUUAAGCUUUUCAUCGUCGUGGCCAUGUAGCUCCCUGUGUGAUCGAGACGAGGAUGACUUGGAAGAGCAUGACAGUGGCAGAUUAUUGGGCUCCAUGGCGUUGAACUGAGGUCGAUCGUCGCCCAGAUCGAGAUCCUCGCCUCCUCCGCGUGAGGGUGGUGGUAGAUUGGGCUUCAUGGCGCUGAACAAAGGUAAUGGCGAGGUCAAAAAUGCAAAAGGAUGUUGCAUCUACAUCACACAGUAAGAAUGGGGAAUUGUAUGGGUGCUAGAAAAAGAGCUUCACCAUCAAGGCUGGUGAAGUUGUACAAAGACAUAUCUCUUAGGUGUGUUUCUUCGAGCGAUAGUGUGACCUCAGAAAUACUAUGAGCAUCUUACUGCUCUAUAGGACCAAGCUGUGCAAAAAGUCAGGUUAUUUGUAAUUAUAUCUUCGUUAAUUGCCAAAAUAAAGUCAAAGUCAAUAUCAGGGUAGCUCAUUUAGAUCCAUCGUUCUUUGGUGCCUGCAAGAAAAAUGGAACAAAAUUAAAGAUGAAAGGCAUAUCGACAAUAUUUACUUAUUCGGAAUUUUCUUCUUCAUGUGCUCAGCAAUGGCGAUCUCGAAAUCACUGCGUCUGCUCCACCUGUGCCAGGAGGCAGUGUAAUGGAGGAGGGAGACGUAUUGUAGUUGUUUUCUCAAAUUGCUUCAAUUCGUGCUGCUCAGCCUCAAUUCAUGUUGCUCACAGUGAGUAUAGUUAGUUGCCAUAGUUGCAGAGGCCUCAAACUACGCGGACGCUAUUGUAGACGACGACGAUAGUGGUGGUCGGGGAGGCAGUGAAGGGUGUGGAGCUACUGGAUCUAGACAUCCCCAAGUAUGGUGCCACUUCCACCUCUAUUUUGCUGGCACUCUGAUGUAACGUCGCCUCUCCACCAUCAUCAGGUGUUCAGCUGCCCGAUUUGGUUGUCCCCGCAAGCAUGGUGCAUCCACCGGGCAAGUAGGAAGCUAUAGGGUCACCAAGGUUGCCACAACCCCAAAUCCAUCUCUAUC